GGAUACAUAAUACUCCAUAAUAUAACAAUACAACAUACCGUUCCCCUCAACAAAUAUCAUUAUUUAGUUCUUUUGAUCCAAAUCAUUUCACCUAAUAUAGCUUCAUGGACCAUAUUGAUUAUCAACAUUGUAAUAACAGAUCUACUCAGAUUUGGUGUACUGCCGGAUAGCAAAUGCAAGCCCCAAGAUCAAGAUGGGGACAAGAAACUGCAAGAUCUUAAUGAGCAUGUCAUCGCCCUUGUCUGGGUUGCCGGGCGCUUGCUGGGGAGUGACAUGAGUACGCUUUACUGGGAUGGUUGAAGCAUCAAUCUCCCCAAUGAGAUACUUCUCCAUCAUCUCCCUUGCUGAUUCACUGUGGCCAAUGUCUUCAAAAUCAUUGGUUGCGUCUUUG
rnacentral:sRNA from 1 species